rnacentral:lncRNA from 1 species
AAUUAAACUGGAAAGAAAAUAUUUGCAGUUGCAAAAGAAUCCUGUAAAUAAAUUCAAAAGAAGAAACAGUUUUAAACAUGGUUAAUUUAAUGAAUAAUUGGAAGGUAAUUAAACCUUUAGUCAUAUAAUUCAUAAAUUUUCCUAAGUAGAUAUAAAGUAUAAUGAGGACCAUAAUUAUAUUCAUAUUUGCACUUAAGCAGUCAUAAAAAUGAAUUAACAGAUCUUGGUAAUAAUUUCAAGUUUAGGGUCAAUAUUUCAAAUCAAUUUUGUGGUAAAGCAUUGUUAUAUAUACUUGAAGACUUUCAUGUAUAGAACAUGACAGAAUUUGUUUCAACAAAAAUAUUGAACUAGAAUUAGUUACAUAUGUAUAAUUUAUUAAAUGAAAUCUAUAUUAAUGUAUAAUUUCAACAAAUUUAAUGAAACCUAUUUGGUUUUGAAAGCCUUUAUACAUAUUAUUAUUACAAAUUUCAUUGUUAACAGCCUGAGUUUCCAGUUAAUUUUAAAUGUAAUAUGUUUUAGCUAUAGUAUUUGAACACUGCAUGCACUUUCAUUUAUAUAUAUUUGUUAUCACUUUUUUUCAUUAGGUUGAAGCUAGUUAUGUUGCAGAAUUGCAAAUGUUUGGUACUGGUUGAAACUAUGAAAGUAAUACAGGUAAAUUUAAAGAAUUUAGACUUUAACUUUAUUAAUAGAAAAGAUAUUCCCAAAUGUCAAGGUGAAAGUGGACAUUGUAGAUUCUAAACACCCAUGUGAAAGCAACAGUCUUCUAUGGUGAGAGGAUGCCAUACUUAGCAAUGCUCUUGUUAUUAUAUGGAAUAUGGCUUUUUUUUAUCAUUAUUUUCACUAUUUUGAUAUUGAACAACCAACAUUGAUAAAAAGUAAUAUAAAACUCUCACUUUUUAUGAAUCCUAUAUUAUCUGAUUAUAUUAAUUUACUUAUUUAAUUUUUGUUAUAUUUGUUAUCAAUUGUAGGUCUCAUGGUCAUCAUUUAACAGCAGGUUAUUAGCAGCAGCAGUUUUGUAGAAAAAUGAAGGAUGACUGUCAAUGGUAAAUACAUACAUUUUAGGAUAAUUACAUGUAGUUACCUUUGAAAAAAAACUUAGGUUCCAUUUGAGACUUUUUAAUCUGAUAAUGGUGUUUUGCAGGCAUUUAUAACAUUUCUUUUUGGACAAUAUAUUUAGUAGACUCAACUAUAAAAUGUAGGAUCAUGUAAACUUGUACACAGAUGUCACUGACCUACAUUUUCCACUUCACUGACUUUGGUUACAUUAAACAUCCAAUUUCAUAUACAACAAAUGUAUAUCUCAGCAACUAAAAGGUGUCAGAUCAUGCAAACUUAUAUAUACACUCUCAGAGUCUCAGUAAGUAACUCAGCUUCCAGGCAAAAGAAGGUCACAGUGAUCCACAUUUUACACUAUUGAUUUGUACUUUAUUUUAUAAUUUAAAUACAAAGUAUAUUAUCAAGACUGCCACUGGUUCUUAUGUGCCACAAUUCUGACAAUGAAGAUAACUAUGUGAUGUAGAUAACUUAUGUUUAUUUCAAACUUGGUCACAUGCUGUAUAUAUGUAAAUUUUUACCAAAAAGAACAGUUCAACUGUUUUGAUUUAAGGUACACAUAUAUGGUAAAGGUCACACCUAUUAAAUAUACAUGUAUACCUUGAAUUUAUUUGCAUUGGACCCUAUAAUGCUCCCUAUAUCAUUUAUAUUGUCAAUUAUUGCAUUCCAAAUUGCCAUUGUUCACAAAACAAAAACCACUAAAAAGGAUGGCCAUCAUAUGCAAAAGCAAUAUAAAAUGCAUACCCAUCAGCUGACCUAAUUAUUGCAAUCACUUCAAAAACCUGGCCAUAUAUCAUAUUAUAAAACUCUUAAUGAGUACCUUUGUUAGUCAGGUAUAAUAUAAUCUUUUUAAAUUGAUGUUGUAAUGCAUGAUUGGAUUAAUUUUGCACUCACUGAAAUAUUAUAUAGAUUUAGUAGUUUAUUAGUAUAUAUUACACCUUUUCAUUACAAAUAAAUAAAUUAAACUUUCAGGUAAAUGCAGCAACAGAAUGUUCCCCUGGAAAAUUUACGUAGAAAAUUUGGGAAAGUAUGAAUAAGAAAUUAGAGAGGCAAACAGAUAACCAGAAAACAAAGAUUUUGAAAGAAAAGAAUUGCCACUAAUAGUAAUAUGCUAUAUCUGACUGGGAGCAACAUGUACUAUUCAAUAUGGAAGGAUUGAUAAUUUUGACUGAGAACACAGUGAACUCUAAUAAUGCUAUGACUAUCAAUAAGUACUUGACUGAAUCAGAGGAGUAAACUAUUUACACAUUUGUAAAUAUAACAGUUAUAUGUUUGCUUGAUUAUUGAGGCAUUCAAAAUAAAGAAAGUUGAAAAACCUUUGAAAAAGUUAUAAUUUCAUCAUUUUUUGGUUAUGUUACUAUGACAAC